rnacentral:rRNA from 1 species
AUUGAACGCUGGCGGCAUGCCUUACACAUGCAAGUCGAACGGCAGCACGGGUGCUUGCACCUGGUGGCGAGUGGCGAACGGGUGAGUAAUACAUCGGAACAUGUCCUGUAGUGGGGGAUAGCCCGGCGAAAGCCGGAUUAAUACCGCAUACGAUCUACGGAUGAAAGCGGGGGACCUUCGGGCCUCGCGCUAUAGGGUUGGCCGAUGGCUGAUUAGCUAGUUGGUGGGGUAAAGGCCUACCAAGGCGACGAUCAGUAGCUGGUCUGAGAGGACGACCAGCCACACUGGGACUGAGACACGGCCCAGACUCCUACGGGAGGCAGCAGUGGGGAAUUUUGGACAAUGGGCGAAAGCCUGAUCCAGCAAUGCCGCGUGUGUGAAGAAGGCCUUCGGGUUGUAAAGCACUUUUGUCCGGAAAGAAAUCCUUGGACCUAAUACGGUCGGGGGAUGACGGUACCGGAAGAAUAAGCACCGGCUAACUACGUG